rnacentral:rRNA from 1 species
UACGUAGGGUGCGAGCGUUGUCCGGAAUUAUUGGGCGUAAAGAGCUCGUAGGCGGUUUGUUGCGUCGGCUGUGAAAUCCCGAGGCUCAACCUCGGGUCUGCAGUCGAUACGAGCAAACUAGAGUGUUGAAGGGGAGACUGGAAUUCCUGGUGUAGCGGUGAAAUGCGCAGAUAUCAGGAGGAACACCGGUGGCGAAGGCGGGUCUCUGGGCAACAACUGACGCUGAGGAGCGAAAGCGUGGGGAGCGAACAGG